GUGCUUCAGCAACACAUACACUAAAAUUGGAAAGAUAGAGAGAAGAUUAACAUGUCCCCUGUGCAAGGAUGACACAUGAAUUCAUGAAACAUUCUGUAGUUUU